rnacentral:rRNA from 1 species
UUAAAUUGAAGAGUUUGAUCAUGGCUCAGAUUGAACGCUGGCGGCAGGCUUAACACAUGCAAGUCGAACGGUAACAGGAAU